rnacentral:lncRNA from 1 species
GGUUGCGAUCAUACCAGCACAAAUGCACCGGAUCCCAUCAGAACUCCGCAGUUAAGCGUGCUUGGGCGAGAGUAGUACUAGGAUGGGUGACCCCUGGGAAGUCCUCGUGUUGCAACCCCCUUUUUUUUCGUUUUUGGUUUAUUUUAUUUACUAGUCGCUGUAUCUUUGGCGUAGCAUGCGAGCGGCCCGAGGCGCGUGACGUAGGCCACACAUGAGGGCAUAGGUGCGAAUGGGAUCAAGGCGUGGAAAGGUAUAAAGGAAUAAGGAGAAGGUAUUCUUUCGGUUGCGAUCAUACCAGCACUAAUGCACCGGAUCCCAUCAGAACUCCGCAGUUAAGCGUGCUUGGGCGAGAGUAGUACUAGGAUGGGUGACCCCCUGGGAAGUCCUCGUGUUGCAACCC